rnacentral:lncRNA from 10 species
ACACAUCAGAGUGUGUUUAGUUCAUCUGGGCUGGUGAGUUCCAGUGAUGAAAGCCUGGUGCUAAUGGAGGCGAGGUCACCGGUUCAAUCCUCAUAGGACCCAGUUCACUUACAAGAGAAAAAACACUACUCAAGAACCAGAGACACCUCCUGACCCCAGUCACUGACCACAAGAAGGAUGGGGUGAAAACGAUGGCUGACCCAGGGCAAAACCAUCUGAUAAACAACUCAGACAGCACACCCCCAACCCCCAGCAGGAGAAGCCAGCACCUUCUAGUUUAAGGAUUUUAUAAAACCGCUUUUAUAAAAAUCCCUGCGGACAAGUUCACAGUAGCUGACUCCCCAAGAUGAGACGUGCUGCUUUAGGUAACCUUUGGGUCCUUUCUGCUUGGGAAAUUCCUUUGUCCCCUUUAGUUCACCCCAGAAGGGCCCCAGUGUGUUGCACCGGGAGGAGAUUUAGCCUCCCGGGGGCCAGGGUCAGGGGAGGGAGCUGUGGGACGCAGAACCUGCCUGCUCUGCAGGUCUGAAGGAGAGACUGUUGAACUUCACAGACUUCCGGAAAAACAGGCGGUGAGGGAGGUGGAGGGGAGGCGGGGAGGGGGCUGCUGUGUUUAUCCAAGUGCUCCAGCGGCUGCGGGAGUUUUCUGCUUGUGUUUAUAUUUUCAGAAGGGGGCUGAAGAGCUAUGCCCAGACUGGAGCACGAGUCUGCUUGCUGGUGUGUUUCUCAGUCCAGUUUGAUUUUUUAAAGGUACCCUCCAUGGGACAGAACUCUGCUUACAAACUUUAAAACUGGAUGAUGCAAAAAUUACCUGCACAGCAGAGGAGGACAACGAACCAUAGAAUUGAGAACAGAAAGGAUCAUUAAACAUCACCUACUCCAAAUGCAUUCGUUUCCAGAACUCCACA